GUGCCAGCAGCCGCGGUAAUUCCAGCUCCAAGAGCGUAUAUUAACACUGCUGUAGUUAAAACGCCCGUAGUAUACCUAAGAGUGGGUGUGUAGUAAUUAGUUUUAUCAGAGGACGGUUGGCGAGAGUUUAUCACUCUUGUUUGCCUACUUUUGGUAGACUUCAGUCGGGCUGGAUCUUUGGUCCUUGUCUGACAGUUGCUACGUACUUACUUACCACGGUUCAUCCGUGAGGCCCUUGGCUUGCAACUGUAAAUAAAUCGUUGUGCUUAAAGCGGGCUAUGAUACUCUGCCAGAGCGAUUUAGCAUGGGACUGCAGAGUAGCUGUAUUUGAGUGAAGGUUGUGCUUCGGUAUGACUGGAUCUUGGUACAGCGCUUGUAAUGGAGCUCAGGGUGAGGCCCCGGGUACCAUGAGGCUAGAGGUGAAAUUCUGAGACCCUCAUGUGACCAACUAAGGCGAAAGCUGUCGUGGGCCCGCACAAGCGGU
rnacentral:rRNA from 1 species